rnacentral:lncRNA from 1 species
GGGCAAGGGCAUCUACAGGUUAUAAAGCACUCAGGGCAUAUCCAAUUGUGACAUCCAGAGCCGAGCUACAGAAGCCAGCAGAGUCAUGCCAUGGUCGGGAGGCUUGAGCAUCUGAUGUGUUAAAGCUUUCUGAUCCUUAGACAUGGAGUCCACACUGCUUCCACACGCUCCUCUGCAGAGGCGCACUCAGCUAAGUCCUUCAGAAGCCUAUGCCCUGGAGUUGCGUUUUCCUGUGACCCAGGCAGCACCCUGGACCUCUGAGCCUGUUCUACCUCCAUGUUUCUUUCCCUCUGAGGAACUUCCAUGGUGUGACAGAGAACGCCCUGCAGUGGCUCUAUCCAGCCUGCUAGCCCAUCCACGGGCAUGGCCAUCAUUCCAUCCCUCGGGCCAUCGAUGACCACCAUCUCCUCACAGCAAAGCAGCCUGUAAAACCACCGAUGCAUUCAGACAGCAUCUGCAGCCCAGCUGGCUGAACGACAGUUUCAGGCAACUGCAGACACCUGCUCCAGCCUCUUUGUUGUCCUUCUCUAGGAGUUCCACAGACUGCACAGUCAGCGCCAGAACACUCCCCUGACCUCCUCAGAGCCCCUCCCCCAUCCCCAACCACCCCCAUCUCCAACCACCAGCAACCUCUGCCUGACUCCAAGGUGGCCUAGUGGCUCUGCAGGACCAUUCCCUCUGUCGGGCCCACUCCUGGAUGCUGGCACUGUACAAACCAUCGCCCCCAUAGAUCUCCUGCUCCAGAGACCCUCUAAGAUUCUCCAGUGUCCCGGCCACCCUUCCCUGUUUAGUUCCUUUUUCGUGCCCAUAGUAUGGCACUGUCAGGCUCCUGUCUCCCCAGGCUGGAAGGGGAAGUGCUGGGUGUGGGUAGUACUCUGAGCAGCAGCACCCAGCACAUGCUCAACAAACAACCUCGAAGGGAGCCCUGGCCGCGCGCCUGCCCACAGCUCUCCUCCAGCCGGGUGCCGCCUUGAGUGCUAGUUUCAUUUCACACUUGAAAUUUUUAUCAAGGAUAAAUCUCCAGGGUCACAAAAAGAUCAGCGAAAUUCGUUUUCAAGGACCCAGAUUAAAUUUAAACAGAAAAGCACUAUUUACCCAGCCCAGGAAAACAUUUAUAUAAAUGUGCUUACAUAAUGCAUUAAAACACCAGGAAAAGCUAUGUGUGCCGCGGCACCCGCGCUUCUCACGCGCGCGCAGCAUAUGCUAAAGCCGCCGAAAUCCGGUCUGAGCCUUGCUCCUUCAUAGCUCUGAGAUUAAAUCUGCAGCUCUCCCCUGGAGAGACA